ACCCACAACAAAGAUCAGCCCAAAUGGCAAUAGUAUUAAGGCUGAGAAACCUUGGAUUAGAAACCUGGAAGGAUAACCAGGGGAAGAGGAGGCAACCCUGAGAUUGCAAGAAUUGCAAGAAGCCACUGUUACCUCCAGGGCCAGCAGCGAAAGCCUAAUUUGUGCGAGAGUCUCUGCUAGACAUGAGUCCACGCCAGUGCAAGAGUCUGCAGUCCCAGCCUCCAAGAUGCUUACCCUCCAGAGAUGGAAAGAGACAUGUCGACAGCUCUUGACCAAUGAUAUAGGACUGAAAAUAGUAGGAUCUACUGUUUGUGCCAUUACAGGGGGGCCCACUACCUAAGGCUUUUUG
rnacentral:lncRNA from 1 species